rnacentral:lncRNA from 1 species
UGGAGCUUAGUGAUUGGGUGGUGACACACUUCAGGCUCUGAGUUCUCAGUAAUGCAGUAACAGUAACUCAUAGACUUGGCCCAAGAGGACUUAAUAUUUCUCAACAUGAGUUACAGUUAGUAUGGGUGCUGCAGGAGAAUAGAAAAGAAUUAUGAGAUCCUGGUGAAGAGGAAUCUUUCAAUCAAGGAGGCAAUCCUGGCUUCUAAAAUAGAUCACUGGCUUCUGGGGCUCAAUGGAGAUGACAGAGAACUACACAGCCCAUGGCAUGCUUGGAGAGAACUAUGGUUAGUUGUGAUUCAGAGAAAAGAACUGCACCAAGACACUAGCCUUGAACAAGACAUGAAGAUCAUGCUGAAAGUACCUGCAUGGAUGGAGGAUGUGAUCUCAAAUCGGAAUUGCAGCUGCCCACUCACAUGGUCAGUUGGAAGCCGGCGGCCAAGUGUGUAGCUGACCACCCUAUCCCUAGAAGGAAAUAAGCACCAUCACAGAUUCUGUAAUGACCUCUCCUGCUAAUGAGCACACAAUGUGUUUUCUACACCAGCUGGUGGGACAGGAAAUCUCAGAGAAGCCAUUGUAACAGGGAGUGAAGGUCCCUCUGGGGUCCCAUCUUAAGGUACAGAUGUAGGAUCAAUAAAGAGAUUCUUAUCAAACAUUCUAACUCAAG